rnacentral:rRNA from 1 species
GACGAACGCUGGCGGCGUGCCUAAUACAUGCAAGUUGAGCGAUGAAGCUUGGUGCUUGCUCCUAUUUGAAGAGCAGCGAACGGGUGAGUAACGCGUGGGUAAUCUGCCUUUGAGCGGGGGACAACAUUUGGAAACGAAUGCUAAUACCGCAUAACAACUUUAAACAUAAGUUUUAAGUUUGAAAGAUGCACUUGCAUCACUCAAAGAUGAUCCCGCGUUGUAUUAGCUAGUUGGUGAGGUAAAGGCUCACCAAGGCGAUGAUACAUAGCCGACCUGAGAGGGUGAUCGGCCAAAAUGGGACUGAGAAACGGCCCAAACUUCUACGGGAGGCAGCAGUAGGGAAUCUUCGGCAAUGGACGAAAGUCUGAACGAGCAACGCCGCGUGAGUGAAGAAGGUUUUCGGAUCGUAAAACUCUGUUGGUAGAGAAGAACGUUGGUGAGAGUGGAAAGCUCAUCAAGUGACGGUAACUACCCAGAAAGGGACGGCUAACUACGUG